rnacentral:rRNA from 1 species
GAUGAACGCUAGCUACAGGCUUAACACAUGCAAGUCGAGGGGAAACGGCAUCGAAAGCUUGCUUUUGAUGGGCGUCGACCGGCGCACGGGUGAGUAACGCGUAUCCAACCUGCCCAUCACUUGGGAAUAACCUUGCGAAAGUAAGACUAAUGCCCAAUGACAUCCCACGAAGGCAUCCGAAUGGGAUUAAAGAUUUAUCGGUGAUGGAUGGGGAUGCGUCUGAUUAGCUUGUUGGCAGGGUGACGGCCCACCAAGGCAACGAUCAGUAGGGGUUCUGAGAGGAAGGUCCCCCACAUUGGAACUGAGACACGGUCCAAACUCCUACGGGAGGCAGCAGUGAGGAAUAUUGGUCAAUGGGCGAGAGCCUGAACCAGCCAAGUAGCGUGCAGGAGGACGGCCCUAUGGGUUGUAAACUGCUUUUAUAAGGGAAUAAAGUGGGUCACGUGUGACUUUUUGCAUGUACCUUAUGAAUAAGGACCGGCUAAUUCCGUG